AACCCCCUAUUUUUCUUUUAUUAAAAUCUGAUAUCUAGCGCCCUUCCGAAUGCCUCAGCGGCUCCGCCCCUGAACGAGCAAAACAAACCCAAGCAAUUAUUAUCGCAGGACCAUUAUUCUUCAGGGAAUGGAUGUUGUUUCAUCUUGGAUAUGCUGACAGAGCAAGGCAUGGAUCAGUACUGAGCAGGCCUGGUAGUGCUGGAUUUAUCAGAUAGGUCACUGUGUAUGGAAAAUUGGCACAAUUGAUGAAGCCGGCGAAGCAUGUCCCUAGUUCGAUAUCCGUGGCGUACUGAUGGUGAUGAGGACGAAUAUGCGGAAUUUUUAACCCCAAUUUUGCUCUAUGUGUUUUGCAUCAUUGAUGAGAUUUGUUGUUCAUCGUCGUCUCCUCAAGAAGCUGCUUCUCUGGUAAAGACUAAGUCCCAUUCUGAGUAAACGCACUCAGCACCAGAAAUCCAUGUCGCUAUCAUUUAGGACCCAUUCUGCUAACAGUUUAGCGAUUAUUUUAAUCUAAAAUCCGGGCA
rnacentral:sRNA from 2 species